rnacentral:misc_RNA from 1 species
GAUGAAGAACGUAGCGAAAUGCGAUAAGUAAUGUGAAUUGCAGAAUUCAGUGAAUCAUCGAAUCUUUGAAUGCACAUUGCGCCCCUUGGUAUUCCGAGGAGCAUGCCUGUUCGAGCGUCAUUAUAACCCCUCAAGCUCAGCUUGGUGUUGGGGCCUGCUGCACUGGCAGCCCUUAAAAUCAGUGGCGGCGCCAUCUGGCUCUAAGCGUAGUAAUUCUUCUCGCUAUGGAGUCCUGGUGGAUGCUUGCCAUCAACCCCCAAUUUUUCUAUGGUUGACCUCGGAUCAGGUAGGGAUACCCGCUGAACUUAAGCAUAUCAAUAAGCGGAGGA